rnacentral:lncRNA from 1 species
AGGGGCCAAGCAGCAGGCAGUGGCUGGCUGCGGGGCUUCUGCAGGAGUUGGACAUUUCUCCUGGCUGUAUUGCUCACAGGCUGGGUAAUAUCCAGGCUGGGCUGCCUAGCUUCCCUGAAAUUCUGUAAGCUACCUUGUAUCCUGUAAUAAGUCUCCUUCUGCUUAGACUAGCUGGACUGCAUCACCAUAUGAUGUGAUAUGUGCUGUGCUAGAGAUUUCUCGCCAAAAAAAGAAUAAGGAAGUUGACACGGAGAAAAUCACAAGGCAGCCACAUGGAAACUCCAGCAUGCUGUUCUAACAGUGACAAAUCACAAGAGUCAGGAAGAAUUACUGUACCUACAAUGAUCUGAAUCAGCACUGUGGGGACUCGAUAGAAGGGAAACUACAGAAAGUCAGCCAAAGCAAGUUAGAGAGUUUGAUGAUCAUUAUUAUUCUUCAUCAGUAUCAAAUAUUGACGCUGAUUUUAGCCUUCAGACCUUUUUUUGUUUGCACCAAGUUGCAAAAGAAAGCAGACAUUAUUCUGCGUUCAUUAAAAAGAGCCUUGCGUUUUCCUCCGUGAAUUUCACAGUUAGCGCCAUGUGAAAGCGCCUCAUAACUACUAAACACACAGAGCCAGCGCCAUCCAUUCAAGAGCACGCAGGUUCCUGCCAAGCAAAGGCGGACUGAUCAGAGCUGGGAACGCCCUCCCUCCACGCCCCCAUCCCAGCAGCGCCAUCUGCAGCGGGCGGCUGGACGCCCUCCACGCACUCACCACUUCCUUUGGAACUUUUAUGGGCCUGCUUUUGAAACCAUACUCAUUCCAUAUGCAAAGGCUUGGAUACAUAUGCACACCAACAGCCCGUAUGCAUGCAAAAUGUGCAGAUGGGCAAAGGAAAUGAAGCCAGGGGUUUGGCGCUACAACAAAUUAUUAAGCCGGGAACUCCUGAAAGCCACGUGUGAGCGCUAAGGAAAAACAGCCUUUUUUGGAAC